rnacentral:rRNA from 1 species
GACGAACGCUGGCGGCGUGCCUAAUACAUGCAAGUCGAACGAGAGCGCCCGGUGCUUGCCCUGGUCAAUCUAGUGGCGAACGGGUGAGUAACACGUGGGUAACCUGCCCAUCAGAGGGGGAUAACAUCCGGAAACGGAUGCUAAAACCGCAUAGGUCUUCGAACCGCAUGGUUUGAAGAGGAAAAGAGGCGCAAGCUUCUGCUGAUGGAUGGACCCGCGGUGCAUUAGCUAGUUGGUGAGGUAACGGCUCACCAAGGCCGUGAUGCAUAGCCGACCUGAGAGGGUGAUCGGCCACAUUGGGACUGAGACACGGCCCAAACUCCUACGGGAGGCAGCAGUAGGGAAUCUUCCGCAAAGGACGCAAGUCUGACGGAGCAACGCCGCGUGAGUGAAGAAGGUGUUCGGAUCGUAAAACUCUGUUGUUAGAGAAGAACAAGUGCUAGAGUAACUGUUAGCGCCUUGACGGUAGCUAACCAGAAAGCCACGGCUAACUACGUG